UUGUGCAUCAGCUGUCACUUUUAUCAGCUUUAGGCCGCUUUCACAUGAUAAACGUAUCGCGAUACAUAAAAUUUAAACUCUAACAAUAAGUCAUAUCAAGCAAACUACGGAUAAGACAUUUACACGUUUGGAAAUUGAAUAUAUUUCUUUUGUUUUUCUGUCAAUUAUUCGUUCUUUGGACAAAAAUUUUGUAUUCUUGAAUCCACGUGUCUACAUCACGUCGUUGUCAUGUAAAUAGCAAAAUUUGAUUAAGUAUUUUGCCUAAAAUCUAGAGACGAAAAGUAUUGGAAGGGGUGGAAAUUUUCGGAAUACUUAAAAUGAGUAUCGCAAUAUUAUAUUACACGAGAAUUAUCGUUUGAACGUUUUCAUUGUGCACAUAUAUUUAAUAUUCAUCAUACACGUAUCACGAUACGUGAAUUGUGGUGUAAAGCGGUCUUAACUACAUAAAGUUAAAACGUGAUAUUAGAAAAUGAUGUCUGACAGAGAUUAUGCACCUCUCAGUGCCGCUUGCGUACGUUCUUUAAAUGAUAAACUUUACGAAAAACGGAAAGCGGCUGCGGUUGAAAUAGAAAAAAUGGUCAAAGAAUUUGCUGCUCAUAAUAAUACCGUUCAAAUUAAACGAUUAUUAAAAGUGUUAGGUCAAGAUUUAGCCACUUCACAAAACCCACAUACACGUAAAGGUGGUUUAAUAGGUUUGGCAGCAAUAGCAGUAGGUUUGGGAAAAGACACUGGUCAAUAUAUAGAAGAUUUAAUUCAUCCUAUUUUAGCUUGUUUUUGUGACUCUGAUUUAUAUGUAAGAUAUUACGCAUGUGAAAGUUUAUAUAAUGUGGUUAAGGUAGCUAGAGGUGCUGUAUUACCACAAUUCACAGAUAUUUUUGCAGCACUUAGUAAAUUAGCAUGUGACUCAGAACAGAAUGUAAAAAAUGCAACAGAGUUACUCGAUAGACUUAUGAAGGACAUCGUCACAGAAAGUGGCCUGUUCGAUUUAGUUGGUUUUAUGCCAUUAUUACGAGAACGUAUUUGUACCAAAAAUCCAUUUGGUAGGCAAUUUGUAAUAGCUUGGGUAUCUGUCUUAGAUGCUGUACCCAAUAUGGAUUUUAUUAUAUUUUUACCUGAAAUUCUUGAUGGUCUAUUUAAAAUAUUAGAGGAUCCAACACCAGAGAUUAAAAAAGUUACAGAUACAGUCCUCUGUGAAUUUUUACGUAGUAUAAAAACUAAUCCUAGUAGAGUGGAUUUUCCUGGUAUGAUAAAUAUAUUAAUUACACACGCGCAAAGCAUAGACGAAUUAUUACAAUUAACGGCCAUCACAUGGAUCAAGGAAUUUGUACAUUUAUCUGGACCUCUUAUGCUUCCUUAUAUGUCUGGUAUUCUUAUAGCUGUUCUACCUUGUUUAGCAUAUGAUGGAGAUACCAGGAAAAGUAUUAAGGAAACUGCCACUCAAGUAAAUACAAACUUAAUGAAAUUAAUAACUAUGGAAAAUGUACAAGUAAAUAAUACCUCUGAAAAUGAUGCACAAAUUACACAAGAUGCUAGUCAAAAUCGAUCGUUAGCGGAAAGUUUAGAUUUACCUAGCGUUGUCGAAGUAUUAACUAAGCAUUUAAUGUAUAUGUCGGUUCAGACAAAAGUUGCGGUUUUAAAAUGGAUUCAUCAUUUGUUUCUUCACAUUCCACAUAAAAUGUUUUCUCACAUUGAAAAUUUAUUUCCAAUUCUAAUGAAAUCCUUAAGCGAUAAUUCUGACGAAGUAGUUCAACAAACAUUAGUAGUAAUGGCUGAAAUAAUUAGUUCAAAAUCUCCAGAAGCGGCAACCGCAGAUUUAAAUGCAGAGAUGCAGAACAAAUACUUCACUAAGUUCAUAGUGAAUUUGCUAAGACUUUUUUCAACAGAUAGAAAUUUGCUAGUGGAAAGAGGAGCUUUUAUUAUAAGAGAAUUAUGUGUGUUAUUAAGUGCUGAAGAUAUUUACAAAACAUUGGCAAAGAUAUUAUUAGAAGAACAAAACUUAAGUUUUGCUUGCACAAUGAUACAAACUUUAAAUGUUAUAUUAUUGACAAGUUCAGAGCUAUUUGAUUUACGAAAUAAACUUAAAGAUUUAGAUUCUAUAGAAAGUUGUGAAUUAUUCAAAUGUUUAUACGUAUCCUGGUGUCACAAUCCUGUUGCAACUGUUGCUUUAUGCCUUCUGUCACAGCAUUAUGGUCAUGCCUGCAAUAUUAUAAAAUCAUUUGAAAAUAUAGAAGUUACUGUAGAAUUUCUCAUAGAAAUCGAUAAAUUGGUACAAUUGAUUGAGUCUCCAAUAUUUACAUAUUUAAGAUUACAACUUCUUGAAAGGGAAGAAAAUGAUGCACUAGUGUAUGCACUUUAUGGUUUACUCAUGAUACUUCCUCAGAGUGAGGCAUAUGCAACGUUGCAAAGACGUUUAGCAGCGAUUCCUCCAAAAACAAAUACAGUACAGAAAUCUACACCAAGCCCAAAACCUUUAGAAGAUAUGUUUGACUUUCCAGAAUUAUUGAAACAUUUUCAUACUAUUCAAGAACAACAUAAGGAGCAAAAACGUAAACAACGAUUAACAAAUUUGAUUGAAAAAAAUACGAGCCAUAAUGAUAUAUAAGUACAAUAAGUCUUUUUACGAUAUUCACGAUGCUGAUGUCUCAUUGAUCGUAGUGGGAAAAUUAAAUCGAGUAAUUAUUACAGUUGGUUAGAUCUCGUGGUUGAUUUAAUCAUUGAGGUCAACAAAAUCUAUUGAAAAAUAUGUGAACAAAGGAUUACUGUAACAUUUGCAUAAGCUAAAAUUUUAAAUUAUACAUAAUUAUUUCUAUAAAGAUAAACUAGUAUUUGUAUAUAUCUAUACUUUUUUACUGCAUAAACGUAUUAUGUCUAUAAAUACAAUGACAUAUUUACAAUUUUUUUUACCCGUAUUAAAUCAAUAUACAUGUAUAUAAUAAGUACUAAGUCCAAUUUGUUUUUAUAGUUUUUUUCCUAAUGUAACUGAGCAAUAUGAUCUACUUCACAAUUCGUAUUUAUUAGUGCUGUAUAUACAUUGCAAAUACGUGAAAAUAUAGUUUAUGGACAUUGACUAUAUACAUAAUACACCAAUUUUUAUCAUAUGUCCCUCGUCUAGUAAGAGAAAAUAAUUUGUGACUCUUACACUGUACAUUGUAUCUUAAUAUUUACAUCUAGGUACACUAUAUUACUUAUUCUUUAACAAUAUGCGUUCUUUAAACUUGCUAUACAUGUCAGUCUUAUUCUUAAAAAUGUAAAAGAAAGGGUAAAAAUUAAAGUAGUAAUUGCUAAAUUGAUAUGUAUUCCAAAUCAUCUGUAUCCUCUAUACCUUCGAGCGAUGACAAACGAUCAAGCUGAUCGAUAAGUCGCCCAUUUCUAUGUAAAAUCAUUGUAAGGCUUUCUUGUGUAACACAAAGUUUUUUCCAUACUUUUGCACUUUCUUGAGUAGGUUGAUUAGUUUUCUCACUUGUUUUUAAUUUUCCUGGAAGUCUAUCGAUUAAAUGUAAAAUAUUUUCAUAAUGUUCUUUACUCUCUUGCGAUAAACGAUAUGAAUAUGUUUCUAAUACUUGUUCAUAGUUAUCUACGUCUUUAUCUAAUAUUUGAGUUUGUAGGAAGACGGUUUGCGCAAUUUUAUACCAAUCGGCAACAUAUUCAGAUCUAUUUAUCAUUGAUGGUAUACAAAAUGUUUCAAGAAGAUUUUUUAUUCUCUGUCCCGUUUCUGUA